AACAUUCUUCCCUUUCUUCAUCUCUCUCUUUAUGUGUUUUUCUUGGAGAUAUCUGUUGGGCACUCUACCUUGGCCGCCACUACCGCAGCACCUUCCACCUCCUUAGUGCCUCCCAGAUUGUCCUUCACGACCCCUGAUUCCGCUAACUCGUCACCAAACCCAAAUGCCUAGUAAAUUGUCAAUUUCCUCACCUUUCUACAAAUGCACGAUUUGAUAGUGUAAUGUUAAUUAUUAUGCGCCUAUGCACAAUCCACUUGGUGCUUUUAGCUAAGUUUUGGAAUUUUGAGUCUUCAUUUUUUCCUCUCGAGUUUUAUUCGUGCUGAUGCUCGUCAAUUGUUUGCUGAAAUGUCUCCGAUCUUUUAAUUUGGAAUUUCAUUUUCAAGACAUACCUUAUUCUUGAUAAGCUUGAUUAAUUAUUUCUUUAGAAGAUUUUUUUUUUGGCUUAAUUUUUAAUAAUUGGAAAAUGUGAAAGUUGGACGCAAAACUGCAUUUGAUGGGCUAAAUUGUGUUGUUCAUGAAGAACGGGAAUAGAUUCAUGGAAGCACCAUACGUUGACUGCGUGUUGAGUAGAGUGAAAGGGCGGCUGGGGAGUUUUGGGAGUUGGUUUCAACUUUGCAGGGUGGAUUGGAGCCCUAAGCAACUACAAGAAUUAGCUACAUGAAUUGAGGCCUCAUAAUAAAUAGCCGUUUAGGGCCUCAAAAUUCUCA
rnacentral:lncRNA from 1 species